rnacentral:rRNA from 2 species
AUGGACGCAAGUCUGAUGGAGCAACGCCGCGUGAGUGAAGAAGGCUUUCGGGUCGUAAAACUCUGUUGUUGGAGAAGAAUGGUCGGCAGAGUAACUGUUGUCGGCGUGACGGUAUCCAACCAGAAAGCCACGGCUAACUACGUGCCAGCAGCCGCGGUAAUACGUAGGUGGCAAGCGUUAUCCGGAUUUAUUGGGCGUAAAGCGAGCGCAGGCGGUUUUUUAAGUCUGAUGUGAAAGCCCUCGGCUUAACCGAGGAAGUGCAUCGGAAACUGGGAAACUUGAGUGCAGAAGGAGGACAGUGGAACUCCAUGUGUAGCGGUGAAAUGCGUAGGAUAUAUGGAAGAACACCAGUGGCGAAGGCGGCUGUCUGGUCUGUAACUGACGCUGAGGCUCGAAAGCAUGGGUAGCGAACAGGAUUAGAUACCCUGGUAGUCCAUGCCGUAAACGAUGAAUGCUAGGUGUUGGAGGGUUUCCGCCCUUCAGUGCUGCAGCUAACGCAUUAAGCAUUCCGCCUGGGGAGUACGACCGCAAGGUUGAAACUCAAAGGAAUUGACGGGGGCCCGCACAAGCGGUGGAGCAUGUGGUUUAAUUCGAAGCAACGCGAAGAACCUUACCAGGUCUUG